ensembl:lncRNA
GUAGGGAAAAGAGCAAUUUGCCAAACAUGAAAAACCAAAACUACAUUUUGCAGCCCAAAUUAACUGCCAGUGGGCAAUACAUAGUUUUUCCCCAAGUAUUGGAGGUAUUUUGAUGUAUUAGACAAUAAGUUAAAAUAGCAAGUCCCUAGUGUUAUAUAAGCAUGUGUGAAUGAAUGGUGUCUGAGACAAGAAGAAUGAUGUCAGCUGAACAAGCAAUGUUAAAAGAACAAUCAACUGAUGAUGUCUGAAAUGAACAGAGAGAAGAACUUUACCACUGAUCUGGUUGAAGUGAGGGGUCACUUGGUCCUUUGGGGCUUGGUUGUGCUUUUUGAUGUUGUGUUCUUGAAAGUGAAGAAUUUAGAGACUCUUUCCUGGCUUCAUGGGACUGAUUUUUAUUUUCCCACUUUUCAAAAAUGGUAUGAAUUGUACUGUAUGCAAUUGGGUCUUGUAAAUGUGAUAUUGUAGGUUAAAUUGCGUACUUUAUGUUGUUGUGCUACUGAUGUUCAGCUUGAUUGCAAAAAGGUAAAAAAGAAACAAAUGUUUUCACUAUAAUCUCAAGGGGCGUGUCCUUAGUGUAUAAAGCUAGCCAGCACUGUUACCAUUAUUUGUGUGAAUGUAAGUGGCACUUUAUCCCUCGCUAAGGGGACAAAGCAUGGAAACAAAAAUGUGAACAUUUCCACAAAACAAAGAAAUCAUUUUCAAAUGUUAUCUAAAAAGGCACACAAGCAAUUUCUCUGAAAUGGACACAUAAAUGACACACGUAUUGUCUUACUUUCUAAUAAAAGUCAUUGCCUCUGUCAUUUGCAGUUUUGGUGUAGUGAAAAUGUAAGUAUAUUCCCUAAAAUAUAUAUUAGAAAAAUAAUUUAUAUUCCCAAAGGUAUGCACAAUUGAUACAUUUGUGAUAUUGACAUUUAAUUCAAUUUUCGUUUUAAAUGUAGGCGUACCCCUCUGUUGUUCUUUUUUUUUCUUCUAAACAUUAACAACCAUUAACAUUAAGUAUUUAUUUUAUUGUAAUAAUUUCAGACCUGAUCACAAUGUUGUGAUUUGCCAAUUGGAUAAGACAACAAGUGGUUAAACAACUGUCUCUGAUUAUUUUUAUUAAAACGUGAAUAUAUGAAGAGCUUUUUUUUCUUUUAAAACCCCCAACUAUCUAAUGUCAACUUCAUCCUUAACCCAUAUUUUUUAUUGAUGGACAAUAUUAAUAUUAGCCCACUGUUUUCAAAUACAAUAUCAAUAAUUGUACUGUUGAGCUUGUUUUUUUUCUCCAAAUUUCAUUGAUUGUAUGAUGUCAUUUCAAAUGCGAUGGAGUCCGUAGUCAUCUACAGUGUGUUUAUUACUAUGUAUUUAACCAGGAAAAAUGCAAUGGCUUUGGAGCUGUCCAAAGUGUUGUGUAUCAUGCAAGCACCUCUGAUCACUCUACUGUAUACUAAUCAUACAGUAGUGAUUACAACACGUACUGUCAUGUAUUUUUAUCGAUAAAAUUAACAGUGUAAAUACUAAAAGUGUAAAAACAUGCUUUUUGUUAAUUCUCUGGUUAUUUUCUUUUAAAUAAGCACACUGUUAAGAAUUGUACUUAAUUCAUCAUACUACAUUAUUUACAAUAUUCAAGAAAGAUGCAGGAUAUAUGAAUCAAGUUCAACAAGUUUUGUUGUUUUGUGCUCCAGCUCAUUGGAUUUUAAAUGAAACAUUGACCAAUAGGUUAAAGUGCAGACUGUCAGUUUUUAUUUGAGCAUAUUUACAUCCAUGUAUUCCUUUCUUUUUUAAGAAUUCCACCCCCUUUUAGCGGACCAAAUGUUGAACAAAUUAACAAAUGUGAAGUUGUCAUAUUUUGCACGUAGUUGCCAAAUCCUUCACAUUCGAUGAUUACCUGAGGUCUGCGACGCAGACAUCAGCAGACGCCAGGUAUCCCUGGUGAUGCUCUGCUCAGCCUGUCCUGCAGUCAUCUUUACUUCCUGCAGCAUGCUCAAUUGAAUUCAGGUCAGGUGAUUGACUUGGCCUGUGAAGAACGUUCUGCUUUUUGCACUGAAAAACUCCUUUUUGUUUCUUUAGCAGUAUGUUUGGGCUGUUGUCCUGCUAAAAGGUCAAGUGCCGUCCAAUACAUUUUUGAUGCAUUUGUUUUGUCUAGAAUGUUCAUCCAAUAUUUCAAGAAAAUUAAAGCUGAAGGUCUGUACUUUUACACCAUUGUCAUUGUAUCAUUUCAAACCCAAAGUGAUGGAAUACAGAGGCAAAACAAGAACUUGUGUCACUGUUCUAAUACUUAUGGACUGCACUGUGGCUUCUUUCAUCUCCAACACCCUUAAAGCCUCAAAGCACAAUGUCCUGUCUGUCACAUCUUAUUAGUUCCAUUUGCUAGUCGUGAGAACAGUGGUGUUAUUAACUGUGACAUCAGGGGUCAGUGGUACAGGUUCAAUACCAUUUUCUGCCACUGUAGCAAUAGUACUCACCCCACUGAAAUGCCAUCUCACGAUCUCAUCGGUUAGUUGCAAAACCUGCAUUAUAAUACAGUGAAACAAAUGACACAUCCUCAAAUACAAAUUACAUAUAAAUUUUCAUGUUGGUCAUUUAACAAAUACUGUCAUUUUAAAACUUUACAAUAAAACAGGUUGCGACCUUAAAGUCUUAGAUAUAUGUAACAGUGAAGUGCCAGUAAUAAUGUAAGGUCAGAUUGUGGUUUUGAGAGUGCCUAUAGUAAAGCAGUUAAAGUAGAUGGACAGUAGAAUACAUUUGGAUAAUUGUGUUCAAGUAGAUUCAUGUUGAUAUGGAAAAUCAGACCGAUGUUUUGUACAGUAUACUGACCAUGUAUACAGUACACUCCAUCACUCAAUGCAGUGAUUUCAAACAUUGGUUUUGGGAAUGUUUUCACCUGAUGAAAUGACUCACUUAUAUUGUCCCCACUGCAACCAAACAUCUCUUAGUGAAUCAAUUCCAAUAUAACUUAGUUUCUGUUGGUGCAAGAUUUGAAUAAAUGAAUGAAUGUAAAACAAACAGAUUGUACCAGUUUGACUUUCCAUUUUUGGUUUUGUUGUAACAUGAAUAAUGCACUUGUAUAUAAGCCA